rnacentral:rRNA from 1 species
UCAAGUAAUUAAGUGCAUGUGGUGGAUGCCUUGGCAGUCAGAGGCGAUGAAAGACGUGAUAGCCUGCGAAAAGCUCCGGGGAGGCGGCAAAUAUCCUUUGAUCCGGAGAUGUCUGAAUGGGGGAACCUACCUACUUUAAGGUAGGUAUUGCAACAUGAAUACAUAGUGUUGCAAGGCGAACGAGGGGAAGUGAAACAUCUCAGUACCCUUAGGAAAAGAAAUCAAUUGAGAUUCCCUCAGUAGCGGCGAGCGAACGGGGAUCAGCCCAUUAAGUUAUGUGUGUUUUAGUGGAACGCUCUGGGAAGUGCGAACGUAGAGGGUGAUAUUCCCGUACACGAAAGGGCACACAUAAUGAUGACGAGUAGGGCGAGGCACGUGAAACCUUGUCUGAAUAUGGGGGGACCAUCCUCCAAGGCUAAAUACUCCUGACUGACCGAUAGUGAACCAGUACCGUGAGGGAAAGGCGAAAAGAACCCCUGUGAGGGGAGUGAAAUAGAUCCUGAAACCGCAUGCAUACAAGCAGUGGGAGCACCUUCGUGGUGUGACUGCGUACCUUUUGUAUAAUGGGUCAGCGACUUAUAUUCAGUAGCGAGGUUAACCGUAUAGGGGAGCCGUAGAGAAAUCGAGUCUUAAUAGGGCGUUUAGUUGCUGGGUAUAGACCCGAAACCAGGCGAUCUAUCCAUGAGCAGGUUGAAGGUUGGGUAACACUAACUGGAGGACCGAACCCACUGUCGUUGAAAAGCCAGGGGAUGACUUGUGGAUAGGGGUGAAAGGCUAAUCAAGCCUGGUGAUAGCUGGUUCUCCCCGAAAGCUAUUUAGGUAGCGCCUCGGACGAAUACCAUAGGGGGUAGAGCACUGUUUCGGCUAGGGGGUCAUCCCGACUUACCAAACCGAUGCAAACUCCGAAUACCUAUGAGUACUAUCCGGGAGACAGACUGCGGGUGCUAACGUCCGUAGUCAAGAGGAAAACAAUCCAGACCGCCAGCUAAGGCCCCAAAAUCAUAGUUAAGUGGGAAACGAUGUGGGAAGGCAUAGACAGCUAGGAGGUUGGCUUAGAAGCAGCCACCCUUUAAAGAAAGCGUAAUAGCUCACUAGUCGAGUCGGCCUGCGCGGAAGAUGUAACGGGGCUAAAACUAUGUGCCGAAGCUGCGGAUGUAUACUUUGUAUACGUGGUAGGGGAGCGUUCUGUAAGCCGAUGAAGGUGUGUUGAGAAGCAUGCUGGAGGUAUCAGAAGUGCGAAUGCUGACGUGAGUAACGACAAAACGGGUGAAAAACCCGUUCGCCGAAAGACCAAGGGUUCCAGUCCAACGUUAAUCGGGGCUGGGUGAGUCGACCCCUAAGGCGAGGCCGAAAGGCGUAGUCGAUGGGAAAAUGGUUAAUAUUCCAUUACUUCUGUGUAAUGCGAUGAGAGGACGGAGAAGGCUAAAUCAGCCUGGCGUUGGUUGUCCAGGUGAAAGGAUGUAGGCAUGUAUCUUAGGCAAAUCCGGGGUACUCUAUGCUGAGAUCUGAUAGCAAGCUGUACUUGUACAGCGAAGUGGUUGAUGCCAUGCUUCCAGGAAAAGUCUCUAAGCUUCAGUUACACAGGAAUCGUACCCGAAACCGACACAGGUGGUCAGGUCGAGUAGACCAAGGCGCUUGAGAGAACUCUGCUGAAGGAACUAGGCAAAAUGGUACCGUAACUUCGGGAGAAGGUACGCUGUUGUUGGUGAUGGAACUCGCUUCCUGAGCUGACGACAGCCGCAGAAACCAGGCCGCUGCAACUGUUUAUUAAAAACAUAGCACUCUGCAAACACGAAAGUGGACGUAUAGGGUGUGAUGCCUGCCCGGUGCUGGAAGGUUAAUUGAUGGGGUUAGCGUAAGCGAAGCUCUUGAUCGAAGCCCCAGUAAACGGCGGCCGUAACUAUAACGGUCCUAAGGUAGCGAAAUUCCUUGUCGGGUAAGUUCCGACCUGCACGAAUGGCAUAAUGAUGGCGGCGCUGUCUCCAGCAGAGGCUCAGUGAAAUCGAAAUCGCUGUGAAGAUGCAGUGUACCCGCGGCUAGACGGAAAGACCCCGUGAACCUUUACUGCAGCUUGACACUGAACUUUGACCUUACUUGUGUAGGAUAGGUGGGAGGCUUUGAAGCUGGAACGCUAGUUCCAGUGGAGCCGUCCUUGAAAUACCACCCUGGUAAUGUUGAGGUUCUAACUCUGUCCCGUGAUCCGGGACGAGGACCGUGUCUGGUGGGUAGUUUGACUGGGGCGGUCUCCUCCUAAAGAGUAACGGAGGAGUACGAAGGUGCGCUCAGCGUGGUCGGAAAUCACGCGUAGAGUAUAAAGGCAAAAGCGCGCUUAACUGCGAGACCCACAAGUCGAGCAGGUACGAAAGUAGGUCUUAGUGAUCCGGUGGUUCUGUAUGGAAGGGCCAUCGCUCAACGGAUAAAAGGUACUCUGGGGAUAACAGGCUGAUACCGCCCAAGAGUUCAUAUCGACGGCGGUGUUUGGCACCUCGAUGUCGGCUCAUCUCAUCCUGGGGCUGAAGCAGGUCCCAAGGGUAUGGCUGUUCGCCAUUUAAAGAGGUACGCGAGCUGGGUUUAGAACGUCGUGAGACAGUUCGGUCCCUAUCUACCGUGGGCGCUGGAAAUUUGAGAGGAUCUGCUCCUAGUACGAGAGGACCAGAGUGGACGAACCUCUGGUGUACCGGUUGUGACGCCAGUCGCAUCGCCGGGUAGCUAUGUUCGGAAGGGAUAACCGCUGAAAGCAUCUAAGCGGGAAGCCUACCUCAAGAUAAGAUUUCCCUAGGACUUUAUGUCCUCUAAAGAGCCGUUCGAGACUAGGACGUUGAUAGGUUGGAUGUGGAAGCAUAGUGAUAUGUGAAGCUGACCAAUACUAAUUGCUCGUGAGGCUUGACUAU